UCGUCGGUAGUGCAACGGUUCAGCACGCGCUCUCGAAAAGAGCGAGAUUUUGGUUCAAAUCUCAGCUGACGCA